UCCUCCUACGAAGGCGUGUCUGUGGUUCCCUGUCUUUGGACACGUAAGAAUUGGAGGCACAGAAGUGUGGACUGGGGAGGUCUGGGGCCAGCUUGCUCCCUGCAGGCUCAAGAUCAACCAUCCCACAUAG